UACGUAGGGGGCAAGCGUUGUCCGGAAUCAUUGGGCGUAAAGAGCGUGUAGGUGGCUCGGUAAGUCCGCUGUGAAAGUCCAGGGCUCAACCUCGAGACGCCGAUGGAAACCCUCCAGCUAGAGUCCGGAAGAGGAGAGUGGAAUUCCUGGUGUAGCGGUGAAAUGCGCAGAUAUCAGGAAGAACACCCGUGGCUAAGGCGGCUCUCUAGUACGGUACUGACGCUGAGACGCGAAAGCGUGGGGAGCGAACAGG
rnacentral:rRNA from 1 species